AUGAGCUCUUCUUCUCCUCGCCCGCCGACGUCGCGGGCCGCGUCGCCGUACGGGUGCUGCUGCCACCGCCCGCUCCUCGCGUCCACCUCCGCGCCGACCAGGAGCAGAGGCGCUCGCCUCGCGCUCACGCUCAGCUCCUCGUCCCUCCCGCUUCCGGCCGGCCCUCGCAGCAGGUCGAGGAGCCGGAGGGUGGCAUGCCGUGCGGCCGACGAGCCUGGGCCAGCCGCCAGCAAUGGCGACGAGGCUGUGGAUGAUGCUCCAUCGCCUCCAGCCGACAGUGUUGUCCAAGCAGAUGCAGCUGCAGAGACAGAUAAUACGAAAGAUGAAUCCCCGAAUGCAGAGCCGCUAAACUCCGCUCUCACAUCGCUUCAGAACAUCGACCGGUAUGCUAAAGCAGCCGCUGACAGCGCCGCGCAGACGAAAGAUGAAUCCCCCAAUGCAGAGCCAGUAAGCGCCGCUGUCAAAUCACUUCAGAACAUCGACCGGUAUGUCAAUGCAGCCGCUGACAGCGCUGCGCAGACGAAAGAUGAAUCCCCGAAUGCAGAGCCGGUAAGCGCUAGCGACACGGUUCAGAGCAUCGACGGAGAUGCUACUGCAGCCGCUGACAGCGCUGCGCAGGAGCAGCUGCUGGAGGUUGAUGUUAAUGUUGCUAGUGGCUCUCCUUUGCCUGGAAUGAAGCAACAACUUGAAGAAGCUGUGAGUAUCCCCAAGGCUACAGUAGACAUUCUAAAGGAUCAAGUUUUCAGUUUUGACACGUUCUUCGUGACCAGCCACGAGCCUUACGAGGGUGGAAUACUAUUUAAAGGGAACUUGCGUGGUGUGCCAGCCAAAAGUUUUGAAAAGAUCACAACUCGACUAGAGAACAAAUUUGGCGAUGAAUUUAAGGUUUUUCUUCUCAUCAAUCCAGAGGAUGAGAAGCCAGUUGCAGUAGUUGUACCUAAGCAGACAGUGGAGCCUGCCACUGGAUGUAAUAAUUCUUUCCUCAUAGUCGACGCUAAAGGAAUUGGUCAAAUAUCUUUCUUAUCUGUCCCAGAGUGGGCUGCUGCUGGUGCGUUCGGAGUAGUUACCAUCUUCACUCUGUUGCUUCGGAACGUACCUGUCCUUCAGGACAACUUGCUAUCAACAUUUGAUAACCUUGAGCUAUUGAAAGAUGGACUUCCCGGUGCCCUGGUAACGGGACUCAUAGUAGGGGUUCAUGAAAUUGGACACAUCCUCGCUGCUAAGGAUGCUGGGGUCAAGCUUUCAGUACCAUAUUUUGUUCCUAGCUGGCAGAUAGGAUCUUUUGGUGGCAUCACCAGAAUAGUCAAUAUUGUACGCAAUCGCGGGGACCUGCUCAAGGUAGCAGCUGCUGGACCGGUUGCGGGGUUUUCGCUCGGAUUUGGUCUUCUUCUGCUGGGCUUCACGUUACCUCCAAGUGACGGUCUUGGUAUCAUCGUAGAUCCCGCCGUAUUUCAUCAAUCAUUUCUUCUUGGUGGUCUUGCAAAGCUUAUUCUUGGAGAUGUUCUAAAAGAAGGAACACAGCUAUCAAUCAACCCACUGGUUUUGUGGGCUUGGGCUGGUCUCCUGAUCAACGCCAUUAACAGCAUCCCUGCAGGAGAGCUCGACGGCGGCCGCAUAGCGCUCGCCAUGUGGGGAAGAAAGGUAUCAUCCCGGCUCGGCAGCGUCACCAUUGCAUUGCUCGGGCUCUCGUCGCUCUUCAGCGACGUGGCGUUCUACUGGGCGGUGCUCAUCUUCUUCCUGCAGAGGGGUCCGAUAGCUCCCCUCUCCGAGGAGAUAACGGAGCCCGAGAACAUCUACAUCGGCCUCGGCGUCGCCAUUUUGUUCCUGGGGCUGCUGGUCUGCCUGCCCUACCCAUUCCUCUUCGACCCUUCGCAAGUUACUGAUUUCGACUUUUGA
rnacentral:rRNA from 1 species